ACGAAAACGUCAAUGUCGUUCGGGUUUAUUUCUUUUUGUUUUGCUGUUUCGGUUCAGGUAAUGAUUGAUUCUGCUGUAACUGAUUUGUGAAAAUCGCUGAGGUCAUAUUUUUCCUUCGUAAGAACAUGAUCGGCAUAAAGAGAAAAUGCAUCAAUAGCAAUGAAGAAAAAUCCUAACCACGGAUGGCAUGGUAUGGACAAAUUGCGUUUGUUGGAAUAUCUGAGUGAACAUUAACUGUUUCGUUACAAGCCCAGCUACAUAGGAGAAUGAAGAAAGCACAGAAAAUUAUGUUUUAUUUUUAAUGUUCAAUGACCGUUAAACAAAAUUAUUUUGUUCAGUUUGUUUCGCGUGGAUUGCUUGAAACUAAUAACACUCUUACUGUAUCGUGCGAACAUAAUAUUUAAAUAAAUAUUGAUGAUGCUUUUAAUUAUGUCAG